UCAAUUUAUUUUUGUCACAUUCAUAUGGCCUUUUUUUCUGAACCAUGUCACGUAAACAUAAUAGCAAAACCUUCUGUUAUCCAAGCCAAUAUAUAUUUUCUAUAGAUUUCAGCAAGACCCACCAAUGGAUAAUAGACAUACAAGACCCCACUGUUGACAUUAUAUGUUUACAGUCAUUGAGGCAACUGUUGAAGACACCCACAGUCUAGAAUCUAUACAGGAGUCAGAGCCUCUCAUGAUACAACAUGCCAGUAUUGACUGUGCUGAUCAUAUGCAAUCUACAGGUUUCACUUUGGUUCUUUCAGAGUCCAUGUCAACUGCUGACAGUGAAGAGCCAGGCAGUCUGACCCAUGAUAGGAGGGAGCCAAGUGAAGAGCCAGCCAGUCUGACCCAUGAUAGGAGGGAGCCAAGUGAAGAGCCAGCCAGUCUGACCCAUGAUUCUUGACAUGACUCAUGGUGAACUAAAAUUGCUUGCAAAGCAUCUGGGACAUGAUGUGAAGACCCACAAGGAAUAUUAUCAGUUGUCUUCCAGUACCAUGGAACUCUCAAAGGUUGCCCUGAUGUUGUAUGCUGUUGAAAAUGGUAAAGUCAAUGAGUGGAAGGGAAGGCAGAUGAAGGACAUAGUAGUAGAAGAUUUACCUCUUCCAAUUGAAGACGAAGAUGGCCAUCAAGAAGGUAAAAUAGUUAUUUAUACCCAUGAUAGAUCAUUGGCCACUGUUCAUUUGUAUUAUGAAAGUGGUCCAUAACAGAGUCAUUGUUAUGGUAGCCC